rnacentral:lncRNA from 1 species
AGUAGGAUGCAGCAUAAUGAAGGCAUUCAAUAAGAGCUUGUGGAAGGGUCAACUGGACAGAGAAAAAAGGACAUUGAACGAAGACACUCUGAAUUCAAAGGACAGAGAACAAAGACCCUGGCUUAUUUGGAAAUCAACCUCCUUCCCUAAUCUGCCAUGUAUUUGAUAUCUAUCGUUAUUGGUAUUUUAAAUAUAAGGACGUUUUAAAUAUGACCUCAAAUUCUUUGACAAUGCUUCCUCUUGAAUGUGGGCUGGUCCUAAUGACUAGCUUCCAAUGAGUAGAAAUUGCAGAAAUGAUGUGUUAAUUUUGAGGCUACAUCAUAAAAGACAAAGAUAAUGCAGCUUCCAUCUCCGUCCCUCUUCCAUCUUGCUCUGUAGGAAGCCAGCUUCCAUUUUGUAAGGACAUUCCAAUAGCCUAAGAAGCAAUGCCCAUGGUUAGGAACCGAAAUCUCCUGCCAAAUGACAAAUGAGUGACCAUCUCAGGAACAGCUCCCUUACCCCACCAAGCCUUCAGAGAGGACUGCAGCUCCAGCCAAAACCUUAGUUGCAACCACAUGAGAGAGCCUGAGUCAGCCAUUCAACUGAAGUGUUCCCAGACUCC